GACGAACGCUGGCGGCGUGCUUAACACACGCAAGUCGAACGGAAAGGCCCUGCUUUUGUGGGGUGCUCGAGUGGCGAACGGGUGAGUAACACGUGAGUAACCUGCCCUUGACUUUGGGAUAACUUCAGGAAACUGGGGCUAAUACCGGAUAGGAGCUCCUGCUGCAUGGUGGGGGUUGGAAAGUUUCGGCGGUUGGGGAUGGACUCGCGGCUUAUCAGCUUGUUGGUGGGGUAGUGGCUUACCAAGGCUUUGACGGGUAGCCGGCCUGAGAGGGUGACCGGCCAAAUGGGGACUGAGAUACGGCCCAGACUCCAACGGGAGGCAGCAGUGGGGAAUAUUGCACAAGGGGCGGAAGCCUGAUGCAGCAACGCCGCGUGCGGGAUGACGGCCUUCGGGUUGUAAACCGCUUUCGCCUGUGACGAAGCGUGAGUGACGGUAAUGGGUAAAGAAGCACCGGCUAACUACGUG
rnacentral:rRNA from 1 species